rnacentral:lncRNA from 10 species
AACAGAACAGGGCAGGGAGUUUCACAGUGUUCUUCUAUACAAUGUCUGGAAUCUAUGAAUAACAUCAGUUUCUAAGUUAUGAGUUGAUUUUUAACUACUGGGUUUAGGCCAGGCAGGCCCAGACCUGGUUUCGGGCCUGGCGUCAGGCUGCCUGUCUUUGGUUUUACUUCCUUGUUGUUUUUUCUUAAAACAGGUACUGAGUAUAAAACAAUAUAAAACAGUACGAGAGGGUCUCUCUCUUCCCUCAUUUACAUCUGUGUAACCACUAUCCUAAUCAACAUAUAGAAUAUUUUAUCACCUUUUAAGUUCCUAUGUGACUUACUGUUGUCAAUGUCCUUCUUCCAUUCCCAAUACCUGGAAACUACUGAUCUGAUUUUUGUCACCAUCGAUCAGAUUUGCUUUUUUCUAAAAUUUCGUAUGUAUACAAUUAUAUGUUUUGGUCCACCUUCUGUUAGACUUUACCAACUCCUGGCCCCCUCUAAUGUUGAAUGAAACUCUGCAGCUGGAGAAAGUCAAUUUUCACUUCUAAAAACCCUGGCUGGUAAUAUCAUCAGGAAGACGGGUGCUUCACCAUGCUUCUGCCUGUACCAGUGUACAGAAUAUAAAGCCUUGGAGGAACUGCAGUUGAUGACAGCAUCUUCCCCUUCUCGGAGGAUCACGGCUUGAGGACUCUGCACUGGUUGUUGGCUUCUCACCCCUGAUCAGAAAGACAAUCGAAUGAGAUGCUCAAUCUCGUGAAGGGAAGGGUGAUUUUCUCUCUUCCUUCCUUAUUUAAAACAUUAAGCAUCACCACAUAAUUACGGUACAUUUUCCUCACUUCUUAGGUCUGGUUCUUAAAAGGGCCCUUCCCAAGACAGAAAGCUAUUGUCAUUAAGAUGCUGUCAUAUCACAACCUCUCCCAGACUGAAUCGUGUACUCACAGGUCAACUGCCACAACAAGGUGCCUGAAAGCACUUUCAGGAGAGUCUCCAUCCUUGGCCUGCCAGAAUAUCCAGUCAGCUUCUGAAUGGGCUUCCUUAACAGGAGUUGCUUUGAACUCAGAAUGAGGCCUGUUGCAAUUGCUUCCAGGAUAUUGCAACUUUGGGGGCAACCAAUCAGAGACACAUCACAACAGUUUAACUGCAGAGAACUAAAUGCAUCUACCUAGAAUACUUUUUAAACAGCUCUCCCCUGUGGCCAGACUGAGGAAUGUUGAUUAAACUGUGGAUUUUGGCUUUUCUUGAAACAAAUACAACUGCUUCAAGUAUGAAAAUGGGCCAGUGGAGGGCUUGCUAUGUGGAGGAAACUGCCAACUUCUUUCUUCUUCAGGCUUGAAAACUUGAAGUUAUUGACAUUUGCCAUUCAAAGACUCUUCCCCAAGCCAGUCCUGUGAACAUACAGGCCAUUGUAGUUAAUGUUUGGUCACUUUCAGAACCACCAACUAGGAUGUUGCUUUGAAACCACAGUUGGAUGCUACUGAGGUGUACUAUCGGUAUCUUUCUUCCAAAAAGGUAGUAACUUUCUUCUAAUUUUUACAAUACUUCUGCAUUUUACUGCAGUGUAAGAGUCUGGAAAGAUAGCAGCUUCAUCAUCUCUGGAGUACUACAAGAAAGCUGGGAAACCAUCCAUUUCUGCCCCAUUGUACUGAACAUUCCUGGGUGUGGUCUUCUGGAAAACGGAAUGACCAAUCUGAACCAUGAAGUAUUCUGAAAUUCUCCAUGUUGAUCCUUUGGAUUCAAUUAGCAUGAGAGCUGAAGGCGUUCCCAUUUAAAUUAACAGAAAAUCCUAAAGAGAUGGAAAAUCCCUGAUGCCAACUAUGAAAGGAAGAAUUAAUGAAAGAAGGAAGAAAGAGAGAAUGAGGGGGUGAGAAAGGUGGAAGGAGGGAGAAAAACUCAUUUCAGGUUGGGAAAGAAUCCCUAGCUCCCUUCCCUGGUGCCUUCUGCUUUGUUUCUACACAGGGGUGGAACACUCAGAAACAGUCUGUCUGAUAGCUUCCAUUUGUCCCUCUAUAUCGACUCUCUUUGCUACUGCCUACCCCGGGGAGUUGCAGGCCCAUAUCGUUAAUGAUCCUAAUAGCAGGCUGCAUUUCCAGAUAUUUGUGUUAUAGCAGAGGGGUCUUGUCCUCCAGUGUGUGUGGAAAAUGUUUUCUGGAAAGGCAGCAGAAAUGGUUCCAUGAGGGGCUGAGGUUGUUCUCUCUAUUCAUGCCAUAAGCUGUGCGAGGCGGAGCUGGAGGCAUGUGGCAGCCUCGUGACUGGGGCUGGCAGCAGGGUUUGGGUGCAGGCAGCAGGUGCCUCAAGAGCACUGUGCUCCUGCACAGAGGUAGAGGCCUGUAUCACCAGUCUGGGCUGCAG